CGGCCGGGAACUCAAAGGAGACUGCCAGUGAUAAACUGGAGGAAGGUGGGGAUGACGUCAAGUCAUCAUGGCCCUUACGACCAGGGCUACACACGUGCUACAAUGGCGCAUACAAAGAGAAGCGACCUCGCGAGAGCAAGCGGACCUCAUAAAGUGCGUCGUAGUCCGGAUUGGAGUCUGCAACUCGACUCCAUGAAGUCGGAAUCGCUAGUAAUCGUGGAUCAGAAUGCCACGGUGAAUACGUUCCCGGGCCUUGUACACACCGCCCGUCACACCAUGGGAGUGGGUUGCAAAAGAAGUAGGUAGCUUAACCUUCGGGAGGGCGCUUACCACUUUGUGAUUCAUGACUGGGGUGAAGUCGUAACAAGGUAACCGUAGGGGAACCUGCGGUUGGAUCACCUCCUUA
rnacentral:rRNA from 7 species